rnacentral:rRNA from 1 species
UACAGAGGUCUCAAGCGUUGUUCGGAUUCAUUGGGCGUAAAGGGUGCGUAGGUGGCGCGCUAAGUCAGAUGUGAAAUUUCGGGGCUCAACCCCGAAACUGCAUUUGAUACUGGCGUGCUCGAGGACUGGAGAGGAGACUGGAAUUCACGGUGUAGCAGUGAAAUGCGUAGAUAUCGUGAGGAAGACCAGUGGCGAAGGCGGGUCUCUGGACAGUUCCUGACACUGAGGCACGAAGGCCAGGGGAGCAAACGGG